CUCCCUGACAUAACCUUGAGUCUGACCCAAUCUUUCCUUUCUUGUUCUAGUUCCUACCUUUCUCCUUAUCAUGACCUUGCCACUUUCUCUUUAUAGACGACUCAGUGCUGGGUUGGGUUUUCUUUUCCAGUCCUAAACCAUUAGAGAUUGCUUGUGCUCGACGUACAACCUCUGCAUAAGUAGUAUACUGCUGGGCUGCCAUGAUUCCCUUGAUCUCUGGCCUUAACCCCAUCUCAAACCUUUUAGCCUUUAUCAGCUCAGUGUUCACCAUAUGCGGUGCAUACCUAGAAAGUUGUUCAAAUUUUCUUUCAUACUCCCCAAGUGGCAAAUUUCCUUGCGUGAGCUGGAGAAAUUCUACCUCCUUUUGAUCUUUCAGUGACUGGGGAAAAUAUUUACCCAUCAGUGACUCCUUGAACUGGUUCCAAGUGAGGUUACAUUGUUGUUCUGUAGUUCUAGUACGUGUUUCAGACUCCCACCAAUGUCCAUCAUCAUCAGUCAACAUAAACUUUGCACAAGAAACCUUUUGAGCAUCAUUGCAGUUCAUGUGCUCGAAGAUCCCUUCAAGUCUUCUCAGCCACUCCUCAGCUGCGAAAGGAUCACCUUUACCAUCAAAGGACGGAGGUUUAAAGCGACGAAACUGUUCAACAAUUGAGCUCAUGGUGUUGGCACCUCCUGUUGCAUUAUGAGGUGCCGCUUGAGCCUGCUGCCUGCCCAAGUCUUGCACUGCCCUUAGUAAAUCUCUGAACAUAGUAGCUUGAUCUUGUUGUCGUCGUGCCAUUUCCUUGAAGUAAAAGUAAUUUAUCUUAAGAACUGCUCAACCAUACUACACUCUUCCUAAAGGUUUUUCUAUAUUUAGUCAUGUCUUUCGUGUAUGUUAUGCUAAGGCCAAGUGUUAUACACUAAGGUUCUAGUCAUAUAAGAAUUGCUUUACUAAUCAUACUAUCCUACACAAAAUAAUCAUUUGCUUAAUUAACAUUCUCCCUUAAAGUAAAAUGACGUGUAGAAAAAAAAUCAUGCAAUUAACUAGUAUGCACUGAAAUAUAAAUGGUAAUAUCAAUAAAAAUAUUCUUCAUCCUUACAUACCUUAAAAUAUUGGACAGUGGUAGAUUGAUGAGCAUUGGAUUCCAUGGAUCUCGUAACUUAUAAAUUUUUGUAAAAUUUUUUUUUUUUGGUAUAAAAGUUUCUAAAAUGAAAGAAUUUUCUAAAAUUGUAGUGGGUUUAAAACAUUAUUUUUCGUCUUAUCGAUUUGAAUAACGCGCAACUAAAAAGGCUUCCAGGUGAGGAGGGGGGUCACAAGUGGACCGCUUAAAUCCCAAGCUCGCCUUAGACAGUUUAGGUCUUUUUGACAAAGCCUCUUAGUUUUACGAAUACCCAAAGCAAGAAAACUCAAACAAUGAAUCUCCCAAAAAGAUUAAAUAUAUAUAGCUUUUUUUUUUUUUUAAAUUUUGAAAAUCUACAGGAAAGUAAACCAUUGCUCUGAUACCAAGCUGUGACGCCCCGAAUUCUCUAGCAACCCGGAACGUUACCAAACGUGAAUUGAUUAAUAAAGUGCUUGAGGCAAAUACAUUUUAAUAUAACGAGGAAUUCAGUAAAAAUUGAACAACCUUAACAAAAGGUAAAUUAAAUUAAAUAACAUAUGCGGAACAAUUUGGAAUCAUAUCUUUUAUCAAACAUUAAUAAAAUUAGUUCUAACAAAUAAUAAAAAUAGGACUAAUUGAAAAUUAUGACGUGACUCACAAUAAAAUAAUCAACUGUUAUUAAAUAUUCUAAUGUUUCUAAAAAUUAAAGUACUUCAUGAUGUAGAUCCAUUGGUCCAAUAUGCAUCCAUCCACCGCCGUCCAGCAUACUAAUUAUUACCUGAAAAUUAUAAAUAAAGAGGGAUGAGUAUAACGAAUUAUACUCAAUGAGAUGCUUGC
rnacentral:lncRNA from 1 species